UACGUAGGGCGCAAGCGUUGUCCGGAAUUAUUGGGCGUAAAGAGCUCGUAGGCGGUCUGUCGCGUCGGAUGUGAAAGCCCGGGGCUUAACCCCGGGUCUGCAUUCGAUACGGGCAGACUAGAGUGUGGUAGGGGAGAUCGGAAUUCCUGGUGUAGCGGUGAAAUGCGCAGAUAUCAGGAGGAACACCGGUGGCGAAGGCGGCUCCCUGGACAUAAACUGACACUGAGGCACGAAAGCGUGGGUAGCGAACAGG
rnacentral:rRNA from 1 species